rnacentral:lncRNA from 1 species
UGUUUUUCUUCUGAUUAUUUUUUUUUUCUUCCGCCUAAUUUAGUUCUUGCGAUAAACAUUUGUUUCGCAAUAUGUCGCUUAGAUAUUUUGUAUAUGAUAUCGAACAGUUUAUGCGCUUUUGAAAUUUACCCUGCGUAAACGAAUACUUUUCUUUGUAGGAGUUAUCUCCCCAAACACUGUUUUCCUUGUUAUGGCAUCUCCUUCGCAACCGUUAAAGAUUAUGACAAAUUUAUUUUACAAAAUUGUUCGUUACAUCAUCAGUAAUUUUUGGCGUAUUUGGAUCGAAGCGAUUCGAAGAAAUUUUAUAGGAGUUAUCUAUCUUUUCGGAAUAAAUUUGUCGGUAUGUUUUUUAACUCAUAAACCGUUAACCGUAUAACCCUGGAAUGUUUUUAUUUGAGUCCCCUGAUUCGUAACCUAGAAAAUUAGGUCAAGGUCAAAGGUCAAGGUCAUAUUUUAGAUUUUCAUAUGUCUUUGAUUUCCCUAUAACUCUUGAACGGUUAUAGAUACAAAAAAAAUAAGCAGUGAAAAAUGCUUGGUACUUCAAGGGGCAACUUUUUUUACAUUAUGACUAUAUUGAUUUUACCAUCAUGUAAGGGACAUAACUCCCAUCGAUGGUUUUUAAAAGGCCAUUUUUAGGCAAAACUCUUAAACAAAAGGUCCUUGACCCAUAGGGUCUUUUGCAAUGACCUUGUGGAGCAAUGACCUUGACGAAGGUUACAAGGUCAAAGGUCAAGGUCAUCAAAUUAUGUGGUUUUGGCACUAUUUAAACAGUUUUAUGUGUGUUUUUAUGGUGCCAACCAACCAACCAACCAACCAACCAACCAACCAAUCAACCAAUCAAUCAAUCAAUCAAUCAAUCAUGAUCAUGAUCAACCAAUCAUGUUUCCGUCUCAUGUGUUUAAUAUAGGGUCCAAGAUCUUCUUUGUGUCUUUUUCCGUGUUUCAAUUGACCCUAUCCAAUGUGUUUAACCAACCAACCAACCAACCAACCAACCAACCAACCAACUAAUCAAUCAAUCAAUCAAUCAAUCAAUCAAUCAAUCAAUCAAUCAUGAUGAUCAUGAUCAAUCAAUCAUGUUCCGUUCUCAUGUGUUUAAAUAUAGGGUCCAAGAUGUUCUUUGUUUCUUUUUCCGUGUUUCAAUUGACCCUAUCCAACGUGUUUAACCAACCAACCAACCAACCAACUAAUCAAUUAAUCAAUCAAUCAAUCAAUCAACCAAUCAAUCAAUCAUGAUCAUGAUCAAUCAAUCAUGUUUCCGUCUCAUGUGUUUAAUAUAGGGUCCAAGAUCUUCUUUGUUUCUUUUUCCGUGUUUCAAUUGACCCUAUCCAACGUGUUUAACCAACCAACCAACUAACCAACUUAUCAAUCAAUCAAUCAAUCAAUCAAUCAAUCAAUCUGUAUGACUGUUUAAUCAUGACAGUUUAUUGAAGGAACAAACUCUCAAUUAUUCAAGAAAAAAUUGAAAUUUAAUAUAUUGUUCUUACGUCACUUCUGAAAAAAAAAUCCACAUGUUCUCUGAAACUACAAGUACAAUCGACCUCAAAAUUUGCAGUCAGCAGGGCAUACAUGUACUAAACGUUUAUAAAAAAACUUGGUGCAGAUAUCUCUCAAAGCUUUUCCUAGAGAAAAGAAAUGGCAAUGCCGUAAAAAUAGCUUGCUAGGUCCGUAAAUCUCAGUAAAAACCUACAAUAAAAUGUCCGCUCCGAGUUUGAAAUACUAAUCUGUGUUACAAACAGGUGCUGAAAAAUGUACAUUAUCAGAAAAUAAUCAAUAAAUGUGUUUUAAAGUUACACCGGAUCAAUUAAAUCCAAAACAUGCACUACUUGUGAACUGUCAUCAAAAUGUCAAUUUCCUACAAUGACAAAAGAAAUUACAUUUUUGUACAUUCCAUCUCUAUAGAUGUUGUCUGUUUAACGUCCCCACCUAAAAAGAAAUAAAAAGACUAUCUUUUCGUUAUUAUAAACCCGUGUCACGUGAUGUGGCGCGCGCGCUGUACCUAAAAUAAAAGAAAAACUUUCCAAACUAAACAUGAAACUUCUCCGGUAACAAUAAUAUAGACCCCAUACAGAAACAAACAAAAAAAACAACAAACAAACAAACACCCCCCAAUUCAAUUAAUUUUACAGGGGGAAAGACCCCCUACAAUUGCUUUUUUAAAGCAAUUGAUUUAUAUUU